rnacentral:rRNA from 1 species
AUACGUAGGGGGCGAGCGUUGUCCGGAAUGAUUGGGCGUAAAGGGCGCGUAGGCGGCCCGGUAAGUCUGGAGUGAAAGUCCUGUUUUUAAGAUGGGAAUUGCUUUGGAUACUGUCGGGCUUGAGUGCAGGAGAGGUAAGUGGAAUUCCCAGUGUAGCGGUGAAAUGCGUAGAGAUUGGGAGGAACACCAGUGGCGAAGGCGACGUACUGGACUGUAACUGACGCUGAGGCGCGAAAGUGUGGGGAGCAAACAGGAUUAGAUGCCCCGGUAGUCCACACUGUAAACGAUGAAUGCUAGGUGUAGGGGGUAUCGACCCCUUCUGUGCCGCAGUCAACACAAUAAGCAUUCCGCCUGGGGAGUACGGCCGCAAGGUUGAAACUCAAAUGAAUUGACGGGG